AGAGGGGGCAAGCGUUGUCCGGACUGACUGGGCGUAAAGCGCGCGCAGGCGGUCUGAGGCGUCGGUGCUGAAAGUCCACCGCUUAACGGUGGGAAGCGCGCCGAUACGCUCAGACUGGAGGGCGGGCGAGGGUGGUGGAAUUGCCGGUGUAGUGGUGAAAUGCGUAGAGAUCGGCAGGAACACCAGUGGCGAAGGCGGCCACCUAGCCCGCACCUGACGCUGAGGCGCGACAGCGUGGGGAGCGAACUGGAUUAGAUACCCAGGUAGUCCACGCCGUAAACGAUGCCGACUCGGUCUUCGUGGGGCGAAUAGCCCUGGGGGGGCCCGAGCUCACGCGCUAAGUCGGCCGCCUGGGGACUACGAGCGCAAGCUUAAA
rnacentral:rRNA from 1 species